AGCGGUACUACAAGAGAGCUUGCUCUCUGGGUGACGAGCGGCGGACGGGUGAGUAAUGUCUGGGAAACUGCCUGAUGGAGGGGGAUAACUACUGGAAACGGUAGCUAAUACCGCAUAACGUCGCAAGACCAAAGAGGGGGACCUUCGGGCCUCUUGCCAUCAGAUGUGCCCAGAUGGGAUUAGCUAGUAGGUGGGGUAAUGGCUCACCUAGGCGACGAUCCCUAGCUGGUCUGAGAGGAUGACCAGCCACACUGGAACUGAGACACGGUCCAGACUNNUACGGGAGGCAGCAGUGGGGAAUAUUGCACAAUGGGCGCAAGCCUGAUGCAGCCAUGCCGCGUGUGUUAAGAAGGCCUUCGGGUUGUAAAGCACUUUCAGCGAGGAGGAAGGUGGUGAGCUUAAUACGCUCAUCAAUUGACGUUACUCGCAGAAGAAGCACCGGCUAACUCCGUGCCAGCAGCCGCGGUAAUACGGAGGGUGCAAGCGUUAAUCGGAAUUACUGGGCGUAAAGCGCACGCAGGCGGUUUGUUAAGUCAGAUGUGAAAUCCCCGGGCUCAACCUCGGAAUAGCAUUUGAAACUGGCAGACUAGAGUCCUGUAGAGGGGGGUAGAAUUCCAGGUGUAGCGGUGAAAUGCGUAGAGAUCUGAAGGAAUACCGGUGGCG
rnacentral:rRNA from 1 species